rnacentral:rRNA from 1 species
GUCCACGCCCUAAACGAUGAAUACUCGGUGUCGGGUCGCAAGAUUCGGCGCCUAAGCAAACGCAUUAAGUAUUCCACCUGGGAAGUACGAUCGCAAGGUUGAAACUCAAAGGAAUUGACGGGGCCCGCACAAGCAGUGGAGCAUGUGGUUUAAUUCGAUGCAACGCGAAGAACCUUACCUGGGCUUGAAAGGCAAGAUUCUAGACGAUGAAAGUCGUUUACCCGCAAGGGGUCUUGUACAGGUGCUGCAUGGCUGUCGU